CAGAGCAAGACCUGUUAUCAUUCCAUGGUGUCGUUACCAUCACCACGACGCUCGCUGCAUCGGAUCCAAAUCUGAAAAAAUGUGCAUCAGCUAAGUCAUUGUUUCCAUCCAUUCGCUUGGCUCUCGCCCGUCAAAUCUCCCAACAAAGGGCAGAAUCCUUUCUCCCUUGGCCAGCUUCCAAUCCUAGCAUCAGGUUCUGGAAGCCUGCAAGCUCAUCGACACCCGCCUAUGAUCGAUAAACUUGCUCCACCGUUUGUGUGUACCCGACGAGGUAGUUUCGGGGCGAGCCAGGUUUUUGUGGUGAGGCCUGUAAAUUCAUGGAACUCGGAUGAUCCGAGUGUUUACAGAUAACGCUGCCAUUAUUGAAAUGUUAUUCUUUUUUGUUUGUUUUCCGUGACCCAUUGCAGAGAUCCAGAUUGGUUAAACUCUGUGAUGCUAACGGAAUCUUCAUACUUCUCCAUCUUUUGUCGCUGAAAAAGAUGCAGCUGGACGGCUUUCACGGUGUGCAUU
rnacentral:lncRNA from 1 species